GAUGAACGCUGGCGGCGUGCCUAAUACAUGCAAGUCGAGCGAACGGACGAGAAGCUUGCUUCUCUGAUGUUAGCGGCGGACGGGUGAGUAACACGUGGAUAACCUACCUAUAAGACUGGGAUAACUUCGGGAAACCGGAGCUAAUACCGGAUGAUAUUUUGAACCGCAUGGUUCAAAAGUGAAAGACGGUCUCGCUGUCACUCAUAGAUGGAUCCGCGCUGCAUUAGCUAGUUGGUAAGGUAACGGCUUACCAAGGCAACGAUGCAUAGCCGACCUGAGAGGGUGAUCGGCCACACUGGAACUGAGACACGGUCCAGACUCCUACGGGAGGCAGCAGUAGGGAAUCUUCCGCAAUGGGCGAAAGCCUGACGGAGCAACGCCGCGUGAGUGAUGAAGGUCUUCGGAUCGUAAAACUCUGUUAUUAGGGAAGAACAUAUGUGUAAGUAACUGUGCACAUCUUGACGGUACCUAAUCAGAAAGCCACGGCUAACUACGU
rnacentral:rRNA from 1 species